UACGAAGGGGGCUAGCGUUGCUCGGAAUCACUGGGCGUAAAGGGUGCGUAGCGGGUCUUAAGUCAGGGUGAAAUCCUGGAGCUCAACUCCAGAACUGCCUUUGAUACUGAGGAUCUUGAGUUCGGGAGAGGUGAGUGGAACUGCGAGUGUAGAGGUGAAAUUCGUAGAUAUUCGCAAGAACACCAGUGGCGAAGCGGCUCACUGGCCGAUACUGACGCUGACGG
rnacentral:rRNA from 1 species